UAAAAUGCCUGAUGUUGCGUGAGCUUUUCCAAAAAUUUGCAAUGAAAGUGUGAUUUUUAGGUUUUUGUUGGGAUUACAGUGCGAGAGGAAAUGAAAGUUGCGAUAAAAGUUGCGAUUUUCCUGAGGUUAAAUAUUAAGUUAUUACUGCAAUUUUUCCCGAUGAUCUGCCUCGUCGUCUGACGUCCUGCCUGCAGUUCCGCAGUUCUGUAGUUAUAUUUCGCAGUGGCAAAAUGC